GCAAACUUCCACUCUCUAUUCCUCCUUCUACUCCCUUGGCCUGUGUUCUCAAAAACUUAAAACCUCUUCAACUCACACCUGACCUAAAACCUAAAUGCCUUAUUUUCUUCUGCAAUGCCACUUGACCCCAAUACAAACUCGACAGUAGUUCCAAAUAGCCAGAAAAUGGCACUUUGAAUUUUUCCUUGCUGCAAGAUCUAAAUAAUUCUUGUCGUAAAAUAGGCAAACGGUCUGAGGUGCCUGAUGUCCAGGCAUUCUUUUACACAUCACUCCUUUCCUAGUCUCUGUGCCCAGUGCAACUCGUCCCAAAUCUUCCUUCUUUCCCUCCCGCAUGUCCCCUCAGUACCAACCCCAAGCGUCACUGAGUCUUUCUAAUCUUCCUUUUCUACAGACCCAUCUGACCUCUCCCUUCCUCCCCAGACUGCUCCUCAUCAUGCCGAGCUAGGUCCCAAUUCUUCCUCAGCCUCCGCUCCUCCACCCUAUAAUCUUUUUAUCACCUCCCCUCCUCACACCUGGUCCGGCUUAUAGUUUCGUUCCGUGAUUAGCCCUCCCCCUCCUGCCCAGCAAUUUACUCUUAAAAAGGUGGCUAGAGCUAAAGGCAUAGUCAAGGUUAAUGCUCCUUUUUCUUUAUCCCAAAUCAGAUAGCGUUUAGGCUCUUUUUCAUCAAAUAUAAAAAUCCAGCCCAGUUCAUGGCUUGUUUGGCAGCAACCCUGAGACACUUUACAGCCCUAGACCCUAAAAGGUCAAAAGGCCGUCUUAUUCUCAAAAUACAUUUUAUUACCCGACAUUAAUAAAACAUUAAAUAAAACUCCAAAAAUUAAAUUCCGGCCCUCAAACCUCACAACAGGAUUUAAUUAACCUCGCCUUCAAGGUGUACGAUAAUAGAAAAAAGUUGCAAUUCCUUGCCUCCACGGUGAGACAAACCCCAGCCACAUCUCCAGCACACAAGAACUUCCAAAUGCCUGAACCGCAGAGGCCAGGCAUUCCUCCAGAACCUCCUCCCACAGGAGCUUACUACACGUGCCGGCAAUCUGGCCACUGGGCCAAGGAAUGCCCGCAGCCCGGGAUUCCUCCUAAGCCGCGUCCCAUCUGUGUGGGACCCCACUGGAAAUCGGACUGUUCAACUCACCUGGCAGCCACUCCCAGAGCCCCUGGAACUCUGGCCCAAGGCUCUCUGACUGACUCCUUCCCAGAUCUUCUUGGCUUAGCGGCUGAAGACUGACACUGCCCGAUUGCCUUGGAAGCCCCCUAAACCAUCACGGAUGCCGAGCUUCGGGUAACUCUCACAGUGGAAGGGACGUGCAUGAAAGUUAGGGGUAGAAGAAAAGAUGGAUUGAGGUUGUCCUCAGACUUUCCAUGGUAUCUGAGCUGUUUUCCUCUUCCGGAAUUGUGUCUCAUAUGAAGUUCCUCUUCAUUUGAG
rnacentral:lncRNA from 1 species